CCUACGGGUGGCAGCAGUAGGGAAUUUUCGUCAAUGGGCGCAAGCCUGAACGAGCAAUGCCGCGUGAACGAGGAAGGUCUUCGGAUCGUAAAGUUCUGUUGAAGGGGAAAAAGAGCUGAGAGAGGAAAUGGUCUCCGAUUGAUAUUACCCUUCGAGGAAGUCACGGCUAACUCCGUGCCAGCAGCCGCGGUAAUACGGAGGAUGCGAGCGUUAUCCGGGUUUAUUGGGUUUAAAGGGUGCGUAGGCGGACUGUUAAGUCAGCGGUAAAAGCCCGGGGCUCAACCCCGGCGAGCCGUUGAAACUGGCUGUCUUGAGAUGUCGAGAGGUAUGCGGAAUGCGCAGUGUAGCGGUGAAAUGCUUAGAUAUUGCGCAGAACUCCGAUUGCGAAGGCAGCAUAUCGGCGGCGAUCUGACGCUGAGGCACGAAAGCGUGGGUAUCGAACAGGAUUAGAUACCCGGGUAGUC
rnacentral:rRNA from 1 species